AACAAGGUUUCCGUAGGUGAACCUGCGGAAGGAUCAUUAUCGAAAACCGAAUCUAGGUAGAGAGACUUGUCGCUGGCCUCGCCCAGGCAUGUCGCACGGUCCCCUCGCCUUUUUUCCAUACUUCACACCUGUGCACCUUUUGUAGACCUUUCCAUCCCCCCCCCUGCCCUCGAAAGAGGAAAGGGAAAAGGAAAGGAUCUAUGUUUUUUCAUUAUAUCACACACAUCGCAUGGCCAGAAUGAAACACAUGUCAUAUACAACUUUCAGCAACGGAUCUCUUGGCUCUCGCAUCGAUGAAGAACGCAGCGAAUUGCGAUAAGUAAUGUGAAUUGCAGAUUUCCAGUGAAUCAUCGAAUCUUUGAACGCACCUUGCGCUCCUUGGUAUUCCGAGGAGCAUGCCUGUUUGAGUGUCAUCUUAAUCCUCAACCCCAUCCUGCUUUCGAGCUGGCAUGGGCUUGGACUUGGGGGUUUGCUGGCAGAAAUGUCAGCUCCUCUUGAAUGUAUUAGCAAUCGAGUCAUGCCAGUCUUUCGACAUGCACGGCCUCGGACGUGAUAAUGAUCGUCCUCGCUGGAGUGUCUUUCCAUGAAGACUGUGCAUGCACUGAUCGCUUCCAACCGCCAAAAGUCGGGCCUGGCUUAGCUACUAGGUGGUCGAACUCCCUCGCCUGCCGAACGCAAGCGAGAUCCAAAAGAGACUUGACCUCAAAUCAGGUAGGACUACCCGCUGAACUUAAGCAUA
rnacentral:rRNA from 1 species